ACUAUUUUGGCAGAAAAAAUGUAAUGAUUUUAGAAAUCAUAAAUAUAUAAUUUAAUUGUAUAUGUAGUA
rnacentral:tRNA from 1 species